CGUGUUCCUCGUACUCCGCAGGCGUAGGAAAAUAAACUUCACUCAAGUUUACUAGUAGUUUAGCACCAUCAGAUGCUCUGAAGACCCACGGAUGAGCUGUAACGUACACGUCUUUUUAGUAAACAAUGAAUAUGAACAAUUAUUCAUAAAAGUGAUGUAAGUCGGAUCAUUAGAGUUAAGAGAUUUCAGAGGCGCGAGUGCUUCCUGUUCAGUCAUGGUGAUGGGAGUCGGGGGAGGCUGCAGACCUGGAGCCGGCAGAUAUACGCCCCAAACAGUUUUACGCCCCUGUCUGGCAGUUUUACGCCCCUGUUGUUCCUCAUGCAAUACGGUCAUGCAAACGAAGCCUCCGUUGCGACAACCGCCGGGACACUUUGCUUCAAACGAUACAAUGAGGAGAGAAGACACGGUUGGUCUUGAAGAAGAUGGCAUUGUGUGGUGUCCUCAGAAUGAUGUUUCCCCCAGCAUCCAUGACCAGGAUGGUCACCUCAAAUGCUGCAACACCAUCCUGAUCCCCUAGGCAUGGGAAGCCCACCUGGACCACUGAGUACAC